GGGGAAUAUUGGACAAUGGGCGAAAGCCUGAUCCAGCAAUGCCGCGUGAGUGAUGUAGGCCUUAGGGUUGUAAAGCUCUUUUACCAGGGAUGAUAAUGACAGUACCUGGAGAAUAAGCCCCGGCUAACUCCGUGCCAGCAGCCGCGGUAAUACGGAGGGGGCUAGCGUUGUUCGGAAUUACUGGGCGUAAAGCGCACGUAGGCGGAUUCUUAAGUCAGGGGUGAAAUCCCGAGGCUCAACCUCGGAACUGCCUUUGAUACUGGGAAUCUUGAGUGUGGUAGAGGUUGGUGGAACAGCAAGUGUAGAGGUGAAAUUCGUAGAUAUUUGCUAGAACACCAGUGGCGAAGGCGGCCAACUGGACCAUAACUGACGCUGAGGUGCGAAAGCGUGGGGAGCAAA
rnacentral:rRNA from 1 species